GUCAGUAUGGCAUAGUGGUCUGAGUGUUGGACUAUGACUCUGGAGACCAGAGUUUGAUUCCCUGCUCAGCCA